rnacentral:rRNA from 1 species
CCUACGGGCGGCAGCAGUGGGGAAUAUUGGACAAUGGGGGGAACCCUGAUCCAGCGACGCCGCGUGAGUGAAGAAGUAUUUCGGUAUGUAAAGCUCUAUCAGCAGGGAAGAAAGAAAUGACGGUACCUGACUAAGAAGCCCCGGCUAACUACGUGCCAGCAGCCGCGGUAAUACGUAGGGGGCAAGCGUUAUCCGGAUUUACUGGGUGUAAAGGGAGCGUAGGCGGCGAUGCAAGUCAGAAGUGAAAGCCCGGGGCUCAACUCCGGGACUGCUUUUGAAACUGUAUGGCUAGAUUGCAGGAGAGGCAAGUGGAAUUCCUAGUGUAGCGGUGAAAUGCGUAGAUAUUAGGAGGAACACCAGUGGCGAAGGCGGCUUGCUGGACUGUAAAUGACGCUGAGGCUCGAAAGCGUGGGGAGCAAACAGGAUUAGAUACCCUUGUAGUC